rnacentral:rRNA from 1 species
UACAGAGGGGGCAAGCGUUGUUCGGAAUUACUGGGCGGAAAGGGCGCGUAGGCGGCCUGUUAAGUCGAACGUGAAAUCCCUGGGCUCAACCCAGGAACUGCGUCCGAUACUGGCAGGCUUGAAUUCGGGAGAGGGAUGCGGAAUUCCAGGUGUAGCGGUGAAAUGCGUAGAUAUCUGGAGGAACACCGGUGGCGAAGGCGGCAUCCUGGACCGACAUUGACGCUGAUGAGCGAAAGCUAGGGGAGCAAACGGG